AGGACGAACGCUUGCGACGUGCCUAAGAAAUGCAAGUCGAGCGAGGUAGCAAUACCUAGCGGCGAACGGUCGCGUAACACGUAAGCAACCUGCCUCAAAGACCGGGACAACGUUUCGAAAGGGGCGCUAAUACCGGAUGUGCCCAUAGGGAGUCAUCUCCUUGUGAGUAAAUCGAGCAAUCGGCUUUGAGAGGGGCUUGCGGCCUAUCAGCUAGAUGGUGGGGUAACGGCCUACCAUGGCUUCGACGGGUAGCUGGUCUGAGAGGAUGGUCAGCCGGAUUGGGACUGAGAUACGGCCCAGACUCCUACGGGGGCAGCAAUUAGGAAUCUUGCGCAAUGGGCGAAAGCCUGACGCAGCGACGUCGCGUGGGGGAGGAAGGCUUUCGGGUUGUAAACCCCUUUAUCGAGGAAGAACAAUGACGGUACUCGAUGAAUAAGCCCCGGCUAACUCCGUGCCAGCAGCCGC
rnacentral:rRNA from 1 species